rnacentral:piRNA from 1 species
GAAGGGUUGAAGGGUGCUUGUAUGAA